rnacentral:rRNA from 1 species
CGGGUGAGUAAUGUAUGGGGAUCUGCCUGAUGGCGGGGGAUAACUACUGGAAACGGUAGCUAAUACCGCAUAAUGUCUACGGACCAAAGCGGGGGACCUUCGGGCCUCUUGCCAUCGGAUGUGCCCAGAUGGGAUUAGCUAGUAGGUGGGGUAACGGCUCACCUAGGCGACGAUCCCUAGCUGGUCUGAGAGGAUGACCAGCCACACUGGAACUGAGACACGGUCCAG